CCUACGGGAGGCAGCAGUGAGGAAUAUUGGUCAAUGGACGAGAGUCUGAACCAGCCAAGUAGCGUGAAUGAUGACUGCCCUAUGGGUUGUAAACUUCGUUUAUAUGGGAAUAAAAUGUUCCACGUGUGGGAUUUUGUAUGUACCAUAUGAAUAAGGAUCGGCGAACUCCGUGCCAGCAGCCGCGGUAAUACGGAGGAUCCGAGCGUUAUCCGGAUUUAUUGGGUUUAAAGGGAGCGUAGGUGGAUUGUUAAGUCAGUUGUGAAAGUUUGCGGCUCAACCGUAAAAUUGCAGUUGAAACUGGCAGUCUUGAGUACAGUAGAGGUGGGCGGAAUUCGUGGUGUAGCGGUGAAAUGCUUAGAUAUCACGAAGAACUCCGAUUGCGAAGGCAGUUCACUGGACUGCAACUGACACUGAGGCUCGAAAGUGUGGGUAUCAAACAGGAUUAGAUACCCCUGUAGUC
rnacentral:rRNA from 1 species